GAUGAACGCUGGCGGCGUGCUUAACACAUGCAAGUCGAACGAUGAAGCCCAGCUUGCUGGGUGGAUUAGUGGCGAACGGGUGAGUAACACGUGAGUAACCUGCCCUUAACUCUGGGAUAAGCCUGGGAAACUGGGUCUAAUACCGGAUAGGAGCGUCCACCGCAUGGUGGGUGUUGGAAAGAUUUAUCGGUUUUGGAUGGACUCGCGGCCUAUCAGCUUUUUGGUGAGGUAAUGGCUCACCAAGGCGACGACGGGUAGCCGGCCUGAGAGGGUGACCGGCCACACUGGGACUGAGACACGGCCCAGACUCCUACGGGAGGCAGCAGUGGGGAAUAUUGCACAAUGGGCGCAAGCCUGAUGCAGCGACGCCGCGUGAGGGAUGACGGCCUUCGGGUUGUAAACCUCUUUCAGUAGGGAAGAAGCGAAAGUGACGGUACCUGCAGAAGAAGCACCGGCUAACUACGUG
rnacentral:rRNA from 1 species